GACGGGGGGGGCAAGUGUUCUUCGGAAUGACUGGGCGUAAAGGGCACGUAGGCGGUGAAUCGGGUUGAAAGUGAAAGUCGCCAAAAAGUGGCGGAAUGCUCUCGAAACCAAUUCACUUGAGUGAGACAGAGGAGAGUGGAAUUUCGUGUGUAGGGGUGAAAUCCGUAAAUAUACGAAGGAACGCCAAAAGCGAAGGCAGCUCUCUGGGUCCCUACCGACGCUGGGGGUGCGAAAAGCGUGGGGGAGCAAACAGG
rnacentral:rRNA from 1 species